rnacentral:rRNA from 1 species
CCUACGGGAGGCAGCAGUGAGGAAUAUUGGUCAAUGGACGAGAGUCUGAACCAGCCAAGUAGCGUGAAGGAUGACUGCCCUAUGGGUUGUAAACUUCUUUUAUAAAGGAAUAAAACGAGGCACGUGUGCCUUUUUGCAUGUACUUUAUGAAUAAGGAUCGGCUAACUCCGUGCCAGCAGCCGCGGUAAUACGGAGGAUGCGAGCGUUAUCCGGAUUUAUUGGGUUUAAAGGGUGCGUAGGCGGAAUAUCAAGUCAGCGGUAAAAAUUCGGGGCUCAACCCCGUCGUGCCGUUGAAACUGAUGUUCUUGAGUGGGCGAGAAGUAUGCGGAAUGCGUGGUGUAGCGGUGAAAUGCAUAGAUAUCACGCAGAACUCCGAUUGCGAAGGCAGCAUACCGGCGCCCAACUGACGCUGAAGCACGAAAGCGUGGGUAUCGAACAGGAUUAGAUACCCCAGUAGUC